AACGAACGCUGGCGGCAUGCCUAACACAUGCAAGUCGAACGAGACCUUCGGGUCUAGUGGCGCACGGGUGCGUAACGCGUGGGAAUCUGCCCUUCGGUUGGGAAUAACUGAGAGAAAUUUCAGCUAAUACCUUAUAAUGUCUUCGGACCAAAGAUUUAUCGCCGAGGGAUGAGCCCGCGUAGGAUUAGGUAGUUGGUGGGGUAAUGGCCUACCAAGCCGACGAUCCUUAGCUGGUCUGAGAGGAUGAUCAGCCACACUGGGACUGAGACACGGCCCAGACUCCUACGGGAGGCAGCAGUGGGGAAUAUUGGACAAUGGGCGAAAGACUGAUCCAGCAAUGCCGCGUGAGUGAUGAAGGCCUUAGGGUUGUAAAGCUCUUUUACCCGGGAUGAUAAUGACAGUACCGGGAGAAUAAGCGCCGGCUAACUCCGUG
rnacentral:rRNA from 1 species